rnacentral:lncRNA from 1 species
UUCUGGCACUGUGGAAAACAAAAUUUUGAAUGGUCACAGAUUAGUAAUGUGAAAAAUCUUAACAAUGUGACUUACAUUUUAAAGAGUGAAAAAAUAUGCAGUUUUAAAAAAAUAAAUCACUUUAUACCAAACAUGGACAGUUAUUAAAUUAUUAGAUUUUUUAUCAAGGAGUAUCUAAAUAAGAGAUUUUAUCUAGUUUGUAUUCUGAGCAAAUAAAAUGUGUAGAUUAGUUAAUGUGAAAUCAAACUACACACAGUACUAGCAUUUCUUUUUUUCUCGUCUUUCAUUGACUAGUUGAGGAGGAGAGGUGGGCCUUGGGAGUAAAAAAGGUACCUUACUUUGAAAAAAUUACCUAGUAAGUUUUAAGUCCAUAAGGAUACCCUUCCUGACCCAUUUGCAUUCUGGUAGCUUCUUUGUCUGAAAAAAAGAGUAUAUCCACAUCUCUAAUAGGACUGGUGUGCAGUUUAAAUGAGAAUAUAUUCAAGACCCUCUUGACAGAAGAAACAUCAAUUUCAUUAACAUAGUUAUUAGAAACAUAAAAUAGCUUGAGGUGAGUAUGAUUACAACAUGAAUAGCUCUAAAAUUUCUACUUAUUUCAAGGAGCUACAAAAAUUUAGCCAAAGGGAAGAAAAAAGAGAAAAGCUAUCCAAAGCCUAACCCUUAACAUUAUCCCUCCCCUUAAAGGUG